GAAUAUUGGACAAUGGGCGAAAGCCUGAUCCAGCCAUGCCGCGUGUGUGAAGAAGGUCUUCGGAUUGUAAAGCACUUUAAGUUGGGAGGAAGGGCAGUAAGCGAAUACCUUGCUGUUUUGACGUUACCGACAGAAUAAGCACCGGACAACCAUGUGCCAGCCGCCGCGGGAAUACAAAGGGGGCAAGCGUUAAUCGGAAUUAAUGGGCGUAAAGCGCGCGUAGGUGGUUCGUUAAGUUGGAUGUGAAAUCCCCGGGCUCAACCUGGGAACUGCAGCCAAAACUGGCGAGCUAGAGGAGGGCAGAGGGUGGUGGAAUUUCCUGUGUAGCGGUGAAAUGCGUAGAUAUAGGAAGGAACACCAGUGGCGAAGGCGACCACCUGGGCUCAUACUGACACUGAGGUGCGAAAGCGUGGGGAGCAAACAG
rnacentral:rRNA from 1 species